AGCGAACGCUGGCGGCAGGCCUAACACAUGCAAGUCGAACGGAUCCUUCGGGAUUAGUGGCGGACGGGUGAGUAACACGUGGGAACAUGCCCUUUGGUUCGGAACAACUCAGGGAAACUUGAGCUAAUACCGGAUGUGCCCUUCGGGGGAAAGAUUUAUCGCCAUUGGAGCGGCCCGCGUCUGACUAGCUAGUUGGUGGGGGAAAGGCCCACCAAGGCGACGAUCAGUAGCUGGUCUGAGAGGAUGAUCAGCCACAUUGGGACUGAGACACGGCCCAAACUCCUACGGGAGGCAGCAGUGGGGAAUUUUGCGCAAUGGGCGAAAGCCUGACGCAGCCAUGCCGCGUGAAUGAUGAAGGUCUUAGGAUUGUAUAAUUCUUUCACCGGGGACGAUAAUGACGGUACCCGGAGAAGAAGCCCCGGCUAACUUCGUGCCAGCAGCCGCCGUAACAC
rnacentral:rRNA from 1 species